UAGUUAUGUUCUUUAAAAUUAAAAAAUUUGGCGGUAUUUUAGUCUUUUCAGAGGAACCUGUCUUAUAAUUGAUAGUCCACGAUUAUAUUUACUUUAUUUAUUAAUUUACAUAUCGUCGUAGUUAGAAUAUUUUAGUAGAAUUAUAAUAUUCAAGAUUUUUUAUUAAAAAAUAAAUCAGAUCAAGGUGUAGUUUAUAAUAAAGAAGAGAUGGGUUACAUUAAAUUUAAUUAAGGAUAUUUUUUUUAAUAGAAAUUUGAAUUUGGAUUUGAAAGUAAUUUUUUGAUUUUACUAAAAAUGAUUAUAGCUCUAAAAUAUGCACACAUCGCCCGUCGCUCUUAA
rnacentral:rRNA from 1 species